AUGGAGUACUGUUUAAAAUUCGAGGGCGGGGCUUUUCCCGCGUGGUUGGUGGGGCAGUUCUGCCUAGUCGGUUCGACAGAGACGCGAGAAGAUGAGGGAGUAGGCUGCUGCAAACGUAGGGCUGUGUGA
rnacentral:rRNA from 1 species